rnacentral:RNase_P_RNA from 1 species
UGGACACCACCGAGACAGCAUACAGGUUAACGACCUGGCGGGGCGACCCGACGAUUAGAGCAACAGAAACGAUCCUAUUAAGUUAGGCUGAAACGGGCAAUCUCUAUGCGGUGCAACUUCAAAUAGGCCCUCGUAUGGUGUGUCUCGCACUUGGGGGCGGGUAGAAGGCUUGACAUUCGCAGUAAUGCGAAAUGCAGAUUAAUUAUGCCAUAGAACAGAAUCCGGCUUAUUGGCUAUCUGAUUUU